rnacentral:tRNA from 1 species
AUUUUAUUUAGUUUAUAAAUAAAACACUUACUUGUCAAGUAAAAGUAGUAGAUCUCCCUACAUUUAAGUA